rnacentral:miRNA from 1 species
UGAGGAAAUGAGCCAGCUGAG